GAUGAACGCUGGCGGCGUGCCUAAUACAUGCAAGUCGAGCGAACAGACGAGGAGCUUGCUCCUCUGACGUUAGCGGCGGACGGGUGAGUAACACGUGGAUAACCUACUUAUAAGACUGGGAUAAUUUCGGGAAACCGGAGCUAAUACCGGAUAAUAUAUUGAACCGCAUGGUUCAAUAGUGAAAGACGGUUUUGCUGUCACUUAUAGAUGGAUCCGCGCCGCAUUAGCUAGUGGGUAAGGUAACGGCUUACCAAGGCAACGAUGCGUAGCCGACCUGAGAGGGUGAUCAGCCACACUGGAACUGAGACACGGUCCAGACUCCUACGGGAGGCAGCAGUAGGGAAUCUUCCGCAAUGGGCGAAAGCCUGACGGAGCAACGCCGCGUGAGUGAUGAAGGUCUUCGGAUCGUAAAACUCUGUUAUUAGGAAAGAACAAAUGUGUAAGUAACUAUGCACGUCUUGACGGUACCUAAUCAGAAAGCCACGGCUAACUACGUG
rnacentral:rRNA from 1 species